rnacentral:misc_RNA from 1 species
GAUGAAGAACGUAGCGAAAUGCGAUAAGUAAUGUGAAUUGCAGAAUUCAGUGAAUCAUCGAAUCUUCGAACGCACCUUGCGCCCUUUGGCUAUUCCGAAGGGCAUGCCUGUUUGAGUAUCAUGAACACCUCAACUCUCAUGGCUUGCCAUGAUGAGCUUGGACUUUUGGGGGUCUUGCUGGCCUGUGGUCAGCUCCUCUCAAAUGAAUUAGCCUGCCAGUGUUUGGUGGCAUCACAGGUGUGAUAACUAUCUGCGCUUGUGGUUUUCCACCAGGUAACCUUCAGUGAUGAAGGUUCGCUGGGGCUCAUAAACGUCUCUCCUCAGUGAGGACAGCUCUUUGAACGUUUGAUCUCAAAUCAGGUAGGACUACCCGCUGAACUUAAGCAUAUCAAGAAGCGGAGGA